rfam:Brachypodium distachyon strain Bd21 chromosome 2, whole genome shotgun sequence.
UCGCUACUCCCUCCGAUCCAUAUUACUUGUCAAAAUAUUACAUGUAUCUAGACGCUUUUAGACAUAGAUACAUCCAUAUUUAGACUAAUUUGAGACAAUUAAUAUGGAUCAGAGGGAGUAGCUG